rnacentral:rRNA from 1 species
GUGGGGAAUAUUGGACAAUGGGGGGAACCCUGAUCCAGCCAUGCCGCGUGUGUGAAGAAGGCCUUUUGGUUGUAAAGCACUUUAAGCGAGGAGGAGGCUACCGAGAUUAAUACUCUUGGAUAGUGGACGUUACUCGCAGAAUAAGCACCGGCUAACUCUGUGCCAGCAGCCGCGGUAAUACAGAGGGUGCGAGCGUUAAUCGGAUUUACUGGGCGUAAAGCGUGCGUAGGCGGCUUUUUAAGUCGGAUGUGAAAUCCCCGAGCUUAACUUGGGAAUUGCAUUCGAUACUGGGAAGCUAGAGUAUGGGAGAGGAUGGUAGAAUUCCAGGUGUAGCGGUGAAAUGCGUAGAGAUCUGGAGGAAUACCGAUGGCGAAGGCAGCCAUCUGGUCUAAUACUGACGCUGAGGUACGAAAGCAUGGGGAGCAAACAGGAUUAGAAACCCCAGUAGUCC